rnacentral:rRNA from 1 species
GAGUGAACGCUGGCGGCGUGCUUAACACAUGCAAGUCGAACGAGAACGGUCCUUCGGGAUGUCAGNUAAGUGGCGGACGGGUGAGUAAUGUAUAGUUAAUCUGCCCUUUAGAGGGGGAUAACAGUUGGAAACGACUGCUAAUACCCCAUACUCCUUUUACCUUAAUGGUAAAUGGGAAACGUUUUUUCGCUAAAGGAUGAGACUAUAUGGUAUCAGGUAGUUGGUGGGGUAAGAGCCUACCAAGCCAAUGACGCCUAGCUGGUCUGAGAGGAUGAUCAGCCACACUGGAACUGAGACACGGUCCAGACUCCUACGGGAGGCAGCAGUGGGGAAUAUUGCACAAUGGAGGAAACUCUGAUGCAGCAACGCCGCGUGGAGGAUGACGCAUUUCGGUGUGUAAACUCCUUUUAU